AAGCUUGCGUUUUAUGUUUUGUUUGAGUAUAGUUUACGUAUAUAAAGAAUGUUUCAAUUCCGUUUACGUUAGGAGCAGUGCCAGUAGUGAGUGCAUAAUUUCUCGCAAACUAUAGUGAAUAUUAGAUUCAAAUUUAUUUGCGAACAGCGUUAGUUCCACCAGUCUGCCACAACGCGGCGCUAGUGUUUCUUACCCCGUAAAACAGAGAAAUUUUCAUUUGC